AUAAAAAAUUAAAACGUACAGAACUUUUUUGAAUUGUUAAUUACCUAACCUUUCAAAAUUUUGAUUUUACUCUUCAACAUUUCAAUUUGUUUGAUUUAAGNUAAAUCAAACAAAUUGAAAUGUUGAAGAGUAAAAUCAAAAUUUUGAAAGGUUAGGUAAUUAACAAUUCAAAAAAGUUCUGUACGUUUUAAUUUUUUAUAAUUUAUAAAAAUAAGCAAUUAGCUUAAAUAUUGAAGCCUACACUUAAAUCAAACAAAUUAAAACGUACAGAACUUUUUUGAAUUGUUAAUUACCUAACCUUUCAAAAUUUUGAUUUUACUCUUCAACAUUUCAAUUUGUUUGAUUUAAGUGUAGGCUUCAAUAUUUAAGCUAAUUGCUUAUUUUUAUAAAUUUAUAGUUGUGAAAAUUGCAUGAAAUAUACUUGCUGAUGCCAAAAAUUAGCAUGCCAUAAGAUAGACGGACUUGCUCACGCUAGAGUUAAAGAAAUAAGGACACAUGAUGUACCAGGAGCUGACAAUAAGACGCCUGAUGGCGGAGAGACCUUAAGCAGGAACGGUUGAGAAGUGGGGUGUAACUUACGCAAUCAUGACUACAACACUACCCUACUAAUAAAACCGACCAAUAAUGUGGGCUAAUAAGAUAUUACUAUAAAUUGUAAUUUCAAAGCUUGUAAUAGGGGUCUUUCUUCCCUAUGAACGAGAAGACCACUGCAUUUUCAAUAUUUCUAAUUUCAGCAUUUAUAGCUUUUCUAGGAGUUGUUUACUUGUAAUCUUUACUCUUUCAGCAGUUACAAUAUUUUUAAGAGUAGUUUACUUGUAAUUUUUACCCUUCCAGCAUUUACAGCUUUUUAU
rnacentral:lncRNA from 1 species